UACAUAGGGUGCAAGCGUUGUCCGGAAUUAUUGGGCGUAAAGAGCUCGUAGGUGGUUCGUUACGUCGGAUGUGACAAUCUGGGGCUCAACCCCAGACCUGCACUCGAUACGGGCGAACUAGAGUGUGGUAGGGGAGACUGGAAUUCCUGGUGUAGCGGUGGAAUGCGCAGAUAGCAGGAGGAACACCAAGGGCGAAGGCAGGUCUCUGGGCCAGUACUGACACUGAGGAGCGAAAGCGUGGGGAGCGAACAGG
rnacentral:rRNA from 1 species